rnacentral:rRNA from 1 species
UACAGAGGUCCCAAGCGUUGUUCGGAUUCACUGGGCGUAAAGGGUGCGUAGGUGGCGGGGUAAGUUUGAUGUGAAAUCUCCGGGCUUAACCCGGAAACUGCAUUGAAUACUAUUCUGCUCGAGGUUUGGAGGGGGGACUGGAAUUCUCGGUGUAGCAGUGAAAUGCGUAGAUAUCGAGAGGAACACCAGUGGCGAAGGCGAGUCCCUGGACAACACCUGACACUGAGGCGCGAAAGCUAGGGUAGCAAACGGG